rnacentral:rRNA from 1 species
UGGGGAAUAUUGGACAAUGGGCGAAAGCCUGAUCCAGCCAUGCCGCGUGCGGGAAGAAGGCCUUCGGGUUGUAAACCGCUUUUGUCAGGGAAGAAACGCGCUGGGCUAAUACCCCGGCGUAAUGACGGUACCUGAAGAAUAAGCACCGGCUAACUACGUGCCAGCAGCCGCGGUAAUACGUAGGUGGCGAGCGUUGUCCGGAUUUAUUGGGCGUAAAGAGCUCGUAGGUGGUUCGGUAAGUCGGGUGUGAAAACUCUGGGCUCAACUCAGAGACGCCACCCGAUACUGCUGUGACUUGAGUCUGGUAGGGGAGUGUGGAAUUCCCAGUGCAGCGGUGAAAUGCGCAGAUGUUGGGAGGAACACCAGUGGCGAAGGCGGCACUCUGGGCCAGUACUGACACUGAGGAGCGAAAGCGUGGGUAGCGGA